CAGCGGCGUUCAGCUGUGCCCGUGGGGUGGCUGCAGCCCCAGCGGCGGUCAGUCAGGAGUCCAGCCGACCAGACUGCGCAAUAAACUGGCGGGUUCUCCGGCCCUUUCUCACAGGCUCCGGGGCUGCUGGAGCGAAGAGAGCCCCGGGGAAGAGGGAGCCGCGCGUUCCCCUUGUACCUGUGGGGAGGUGGAGAGGCCUGCGGGGGUGAAGCGAGCCCUGCCUCAGUUUCCCUCCCUGGCAGUAGCGACAGGAGAGAACUUGGGCAGCGGUGCCAGUCAGAGGAUGCUCGCACGGGAUUGGGAGGGAAGGUCCUCCGCAGUAUUUUGCACCUCUCUUGGGUGCUAGAAGAUUGGAGCCAAGAUGCUAGCCACAUAACUACUGCAGUGGCUAAGGACUAUGAAGCCUGUAACGCUCAAUAAAAUGAGUGAACAUUGA